rnacentral:rRNA from 1 species
AGUGAACGCUGGCGGCAGGCCUAACACAUGCAAGUCGAACGGCAGCACAGUAAGAGCUUGCUCUUACGGGUGGCGAGUGGCGGACGGGUGAGGAAUACAUCGGAAUCUACUUUUUCGUGGGGGAUAACGUAGGGAAACUUACGCUAAUACCGCAUACGACCUACGGGUGAAAGCAGGGGAUCUUCGGACCUUGCGCGAUUGAAUGAGCCGAUGUCGGAUUAGCUAGUUGGCGGGGUAAAGGCCAACAAGGCGACGAUCCGUAGCUGGGCUGAGAGGGUGAACAGCCACACUGGAACUGAGACACGGUCCAGACUCCUACGGGAGGCCGCAGUGGGGAAUGUUGGACAAUGGGCGCAAGCCUGAUCCAGCCGUACCGCGUGGGUGAAGAAGGCCUUCGGGUUGGAAAGCCCUUUUGUUGGGAAAGAAAAGCAGCAGGUUAAUACCACGCUGUUCUGACGGUACCGAAUGAAUAAGCACCGGCUAACUUCGUG